ensembl:lncRNA
AGCCGCCCCGAGUCCCCUUUGGGAGAUGGGGCAGGGUAUAAAAAUAAAAUUAUUAUUUUAUUAUGACACAGCAAACAAGAUAGAUAUGCUGGAUUUCGUAUCACAAAAUCACAAGUCGAACACUUCCCAAGUGUCUAGGACUGUGUGAUGUAUUUUCGGAUGAUGUGCGCAGAUCCCAGCAGGGUGGUCUUUUGCAGUUGGCAGAUCAUGAUUUUGUCAAUGUCUAUUGUUUCCAAAUGCCGGCUGAGAUCUUUUGGCACGGCAUCCAAUGUGCUGAUCACCACCGGGACCACCUAUACUGGUUUCUGCCAGAGUCUUUGAAGUUCAAUCUUGAGGUCCUGAUAGCGGCUGAGUUUUUCCUGUUGUUUUUCGUCAAUGCGACUAUCACCUGGGAUGGCGACAUCAAUGAACCAAACCUUUUUCUUUUCCACAACUGUGAUGUCUGGUGUAUUGUGUUCCAGAACUUUGUCAGUCUGGAUUCGGAAGUCCCACAGUAUCUUUGCGUGCUCAUUUCCAAAUACCAGAUCCCACCAGUUCUUUAUUGCUGGGAGGUGGUACUUGAGGCAUAAGUUCCAAUGAAUCAUUUGGGCCACAUAGUUGUGCCUCUGUUUGUAGUCUGUCUGUGCAAUUUUCUUACAGCAGCUGAGGAGAUGAUCAAUGGUUUCAUCGGUUUCCUUGCACAGUCUGCAUUUUGGGUCAUCAGCUGAUUUUUCGAUCUUGGCCUUGAUUGCAUUUGUUCUGAUGGCUUGCUCCUGGGCUGCAAGGAUCAGGCCUUCUGUCUCCUUCUUCAGGGUCCCAUUCGUGAGCCAGAGCCAGGUCUUCUCCUUAUCAGCUUUUCCUUCAAUUUUGUCAAGGAACUUUCCAUGCAGUGUUUUGUUGUGCCAGCUGUCAACUCUAGUUUGUAGUGCGGUUUUCUUGUACUGGUUUUUUGUCUGCUGUGCUUUGAGGAGUUUCUGAUAUUUGACUUCAAUCAAAGCAGGUUCUUCACUUUGCUUUACAUAUUCUGCCAGGGCAUGUUCUUCUUCUUUGACUGCUUGUUUUACUUGUAAGAGUCCUCUGCCCCCUGAUCUUCUAGGCAGAUAUAGCCGGUCAACAUCACUGCGAGGGUGCAGUGAAUGAUGAAUGGUCAUGAGUUUUCUUGUUUUUCUGUCCAAAUUGUCCAGUUCCGCCUGUGUCCAAUUUAUAAUGCCAGCAGUAUAUCAUAUGACAGGUAUGGCCCAGGUGUUUAUGGCCUUGAUGGUGUUGCCUCCAUUGAGCUUGCUUUUGAGAAUUUUUCUGACCCUUUGUGUGUAUUCUUUGCUGACCGCAGUUUUCACAUGUUCAUGCUUGAUGUUGGACAGCUGUAAUAUGCCCAAAUAUUUAUAGGCCUCUGGCUGGUGACACCUUAUUGUUUGGUCAUUGGGCAUAUUGAUGCCCUCACUUUCAAUGAUUUUUCCCUUCUUCAAUGCCACUGUCGAACAUUUGUCCAAACCAAACUCCAUGUUGAUAUCAGUGCUAAAAAUUCGGACAGUGUUGGUCAGAGAUUGGAUUUCAGUUUCCGUUUUCCCAUAUAGCUUCAGGUCAUCCAUGUACAUCAAAUGUGAAAUUUUGUGAGAAUUCUUAGAUGUUUGGUAGCUGAGAUUUGUUUUUUGUAAGAUUGUUGACAGAGGGAUCAUGGCAAUAAUGAAAAGCAGAGGGGACAAUGAAUCUCCCUGGAAAAUUCCUUUUCUGAUGUUGACAAGUCCAUAACUUUCAUUUCCAACAAACAGUUCAGUUUUCCAGUGUUCCAUCAUGUUUUCAAUGAAGGUGCCAAUAUUUUUACUAAUCCCGAUGGCGUCCAGGCACUUGAUGAUCCAGCUGUGUGGGAGUGAGUCAAAGGCCUUUUUGUAGUCAAUCCACGUCAUGUGAAGAUUAGCUUUUCGGCUCUUACAGUACUCCAG